CAUCUCCAAAGGGAGGUUGUCUCCACUUUUUUGAUGAGUUCUCUUGAUUUAUUUGAUCAAAAAUAAUUCAAAAUUGAGUAAACAAGAGAGAAACACCUCUCUUAAGAGAAUUUUGAGAAUUUUAGAGAGCCGGACACGUGUCCUUCAUUGGAUGGAAUAAGCAUUUUAACAAAAGAUUUUGGUCGUUUCUAUCUCUCGACAAAAACAGAAACACCUCUCUCUCUCUCGCGAUUGCGAUCAAAGUUUCUGCGAGAUUCUAUAAUGGAGCAGCUUGUUAACUUCAUCAUUCGACCUCCAAGAGCUGAGUAUGACGCGGAACAUGAUCUCUUGGAAAAGGGAGUUUAUGAUGAGAGGUAGAUGGUAUCAGAGAAAGGAUUUAGAGGUUAAAAACAGUAGAGGAGAUGUCUCCAGUGUAGUCAUUAUAUGCCAGUUGAACGCCCUGAAGGAAAGCCUUUACCAUGUGUAAUAUACUGUCACGGAAACAGCAUUGCUUAAUGGCCCGGCAAUUCUGUCAUAUAGUGGAUGUAGAGCGGAUGGUAGUGAAGCCGCAAUUGUCUUGCUGCCUUCAAACAUCACAGUUUUCACCCUUGACUUUUCGGGAUCGGGUCUCUCAGGCGGGGAAUAUGUCACCUUAGGCUGGAACGAAGUAUGUUCUCCUUUAAUCAUUCCCUUUUAUCUCUUCUACCCUUCAAAAUAUAUUGUUACAUUGGAGUAAAUAUUUUGUCCAAUAUGCUCUGUUAUUUUCCAUUUUAUACCCAUGUAAACCAAUAUGAUUGUGCUAUCUUCUAUAGAUGUACCCUAUUGCAAAAAAUCUAGUUCAUGAUAAGACUGGCGAGUGAAGAAAUCAUGGAAUUCGUGUCGAGUUGUA